UGGGGAAUAUUGCACAAUGGGCGCAAGCCUGAUGCAGCCAUGCCGCGUGUAUGAAGAAGGCCUUCGGGUUGUAAAGUACUUUCAGCGGGGAGGAAGGCGAUGUGGUUAAUAACCGCGUCGAUUGACGUUACCCGCAGAAGAAGCACCGGCUAACUCCGUGCCAGCAGCCGCGGUAAUACGGAGGGUGCAAGCGUUAAUCGGAAUUACUGGGCGUAAAGCGCACGCAGGCGGUCUGUCAAGUCGGAUGUGAAAUCCCCGGGCUCAACCUGGGAACUGCAUCCGAAACUGGCAGGCUUGAGUCUCGUAGAGGGGGGUAGAAUUCCAGGUGUAGCGGUGAAAUGCGUAGAGAUCUGGAGGAAUACCGGUGGCGAAGGCGGCCCCCUGGACAAAGACUGACGCUCAGGUGCGAAAGCGUGGGGAGCAAACA
rnacentral:rRNA from 1 species